rnacentral:rRNA from 1 species
AUUGAACGCUGGCGGCAUGCCUUACACAUGCAAGUCGAACGGUAACGCGGGGCAACCUGGCGACGAGUGGCGAACGGGUGAGUAAUGCAUCGGAACGUGCCUGGUAGUGGGGGAUAACUGCUCGAAAGAGCAGCUAAUACCGCAUACGACCUGAGGGUGAAAGGGGGGGAUCGCAAGACCUCUCGCUAUCAGAGCGGCCGAUGUCGGAUUAGCUAGUUGGUGGGGUAAAGGCCAACCAAGGCAACGAUCCGUAGCUGGUCUGAGAGGACGACCAGCCACACUGGGACUGAGACACGGCCCAGACUCCUACGGGAGGCAGCAGUGGGGAAUUUUGGACAAUGGACGCAAGUCUGAUCCAGCCAUGCCGCGUGCGGGAAGAAGGCCUUCGGGUUGUAAACCGCUUUUGUCAGGGAAGAAAUCUUCUGAGUUAAUACCUCGGGAGGAUGACGGUACCUGAAGAAUAAGCACCGGCUAACUACGUGCCAGCCGCCGCAGUAACAC